UACGUAGGGUGCAAGCGUUAAUCGGAAUUACUGGGCGUAAAGCGUGCGCAGGCGGUUUUGUAAGUCUGACGUGAAAUCCCCGGGCUCAACCUGGGAAUUGCGUUGGAGACUGCAAGGCUGGAGUCUGGCAGAGGGGGGUAGAAUUCCACGUGUAGCAGUGAAAUGCGUAGAGAUGUGGAGGAACACCGAUGGCGAAGGCAAUCCCCUGGGCCUGUACUGACGCUCAUGCACGAAAGCGUGGGGAGCAAACAGG
rnacentral:rRNA from 1 species